UGCGGCUACGCCGAGUCAUCCUCGGAUGGUGCCUCUUGGCGCUCCUGCUGCUUUUCUCUCCCUCUUCCGCCCCAUUGCCCAAAGUGUAGAGGAAACCAAGUGAAAGACAAAAAGUGAGAUGGGCAGGAGGCAGCAGAUGGGAAACUUGGCAUUCUAACUGCUGGUGCGCGGAAAUAAAGAUUGGUGUUUACGAAGAGGAAAAUGGGGACGCCAUUGGCCGCCCUGCGCAAACCCGCUGACAGCGCGGGGCUCCCCGCCCUCAGCUCACCUGGCUUUGGUCAGGCGGAGAGGCCACCUGUGCCGACAGCCCUGCCCUAGCACCCCCGAAAUCUCUGAGUACCCCCUCUUCCAAAACAGGGUACCCCAUGGGGUGUCCACCCACAUGUAACAUAGGCAGCCGCUGCGAUUCAGACUUCACGGGGCAUUAAAGAUAGCUGACCACGAAUUAUUUUCAGUGUUACAGGGGUACAAGUAGGAAAGGAAGUUCAUCAUUCUUCUGACACUGUCUUAACAAUGUUAUCGCUCCCAUUUGAGGAUCAUUUGCAAGGAAUCUGCAGCUCUGGACCUUAGCUGUAUUUAGUCAGUCUUGUGCAAAUGUAAAUCCUGACAGCCAACUGUGACCCAGAUAAGCGAAAACAAACAUUCAGUAAUUUUGCUUUUUAAUCCAUCCAGUUCUGUUCUGUGAAUAAAGGCCCUUUCAUAUAAAUAGCAGAACCCCUUCGGAAUUUGGGCCUGAGAUCACAUUUUGAAAAUAGAAAUGGCAGGGUACGUACACAUCACUGCUAUCAGCAAUUUUUUUUUUCUGGCAACAUCAUUUAAUAACUUGAAAUCACACAAAAUGCUCAACUGAAGUAUCUAUCAUCAGGCAACCAUUUAUUUAUAAACCUGCACUUAGAGAAUUGCUGUAAUUAUCUGUCUAUCCUAAUUUCUUUAAAAAAUAUGCUUCUGUUUUAAAAAUAUGCGUGUGCCACAAUUUAUGAAGUCACAUUUUAUCUGUAAGGUCAGUUUAGGACUAGGAAGAUAGCAUACUGGUUAUACAGAAAGACUUUCAUGUCCAAGACUCUUUUGAGUUCCCAAGUUCAGUCUUCCACAUCACAUACAUUGUGUAAGUAUUCACUAAGUGGUACUUUAAAAAGAAAUAAUUUAAGAAACCAGAGGAAAAAGGGGAGGUGUCUAAAUCAGCUAUCCCCAAACUUUCUGGCAAUACCAUAUAUAACUAUAUAGCCUUUGGGGGUCAGACAUCCUCUUUCUCAAUUAGCUCUGCCCUUGUAGCACUCAGAAAAACAGACAGUACAUGCAUAAAUAAGCAUAUCUGUGUUCCAGUAAAACUUAAGAAACAAGUGGGGCUGGGUGGUGGCGCACCUGGUUGAGCGCACACGUUACAGUGCACAAGGACCCAGGUUUGAGCCCCCACCAGUCCCCACCUGCAGGGGGAAAGCUUCACAAGCAGUGAAGCAGUGUUGCAGGUGUCUCUCUGUGUAUACGUCUUAUCUCCCCUUACCCUCUCAAUUUCUGGCUCUCUCCAUCCGGUAAACAAAGAUAAUAAAAAUUUUAAAAAAUAAUAAAUAAGUACAGGAGCUGAUUUAGCCCUCUGGGUCUAGAUGUCUAUUUUCUUCUGAAUUAUUUUUCUCUAUUAAAUGGUCAAUCUGCAGAAAAAACACAA